rnacentral:rRNA from 1 species
UACAUGGGGUGCAAACGUUGCUCGGAAUUAUUGGGCGUAAAGCGCGCGUAGGCGGUUACUCAAGCUCGGAUGUGAAAGCCCUCGGCUUAACUGAGGAAGUGCACCCGAAACUGAGUAGCUAGAGUACCAAAGAGGGUCGCGGAAUUCCCGGUGUAGAGGUGAAAUUCGUGAGAUAUCGGGAGGAACACCGGUGGCGAAGGCGGCGACCUGGGUGGAUACUGGACGCUGAGGCGCGAAAGCGUGGGGAGCAAACAGG